UACGUAGGGUGCGAGCGUUGUCCGGAAUUAUUGGGCGUAAAGGGUUCGUAGGUGGCUUGCUAAGUCAGACGUGAAAUCCCUCAGCUUAACUGGGGAACUGCGUCUGAUACUGGCGAGCUUGAGUGCAGGAGAGGAACGCAGAAUUCCAGGUGUAGCGGUGAAAUGCGUAGAUAUCUGGAGGAAUACCGGUGGCGAAGGCGGCCCCCUGGUUGGAUACUGACGCUGAUACGCGAAAGCGUGGGGAGCAAACAGG
rnacentral:rRNA from 1 species